UACGGAGGGUGCGAGCGUUGUCCGGAAUCAUUGGGCGUAAAGGGCGCGUAGGUGGCCUGCUAAGCGUGCGGUGAAAGUCGGGGGCUCAACCCCCGAUCGGCCGUGCGAACUGGGAGGCUUGAGCACUGUAGAGGCAGGCGGAAUUCCGGGUGUAGCGGUGGAAUGCGUAGAGAUCCGGAAGAACACCGGUGGCGAAGGCGGCCUGCUGGGCAGUUUUGCUGACACUGAGGCGCGACAGCGUGGGGAGCAAACAGG
rnacentral:rRNA from 1 species